GACGAACGCUGGCGGCGUGCCUAAUACAUGCAAGUAGAACGCACAGUUUAUACCGUAGCUUGCUACACCAUAGACUGUGAGUUGCGAACGGGUGAGUAACGCGUAGGUAACCUGCCUGGUAGCGGGGGAUAACUAUUGGAAACGAUAGCUAAUACCGCAUAAUAUUAAUUAUUGCAUGAUAAUUGAUUGAAAGAUGCAACUGCAUCACUACCAGAUGGACCUGCGUUGUAUUAGCUAGUAGGUGAGGUAACGGCUCACCUAGGCGACGAUACAUAGCCGACCUGAGAGGGUGAUCGGCCACACUGGGACUGAGACACGGCCCAGACUCCUACGGGAGGCAGCAGUAGGGAAUCUUCGGCAAUGGACGAAAGUCUGACCGAGCAACGCCGCGUGAGUGAAGAAGGUUUUCGGAUCGCAAAGCUCUGUUGUAAGAGAAGAACGGGUGUGAGAGUGGAAAGUUCACACUGUGACGGUAGCUUACCAGAAAGGGACGGCUAACUACGUG
rnacentral:rRNA from 1 species